GACGAACGCUGGCGGCGUGCUUAACACAUGCAAGUCGAACGAAGUGGCGCACGGGUGAGUAACGCGUAAUCAACCUGCCCUUCAGAGGGGGACCACAGUUGGCAACGACUGCUAAUACCGCAUACUUCAGGAGGGGAUUGCGUCUGAUUAGCUAGUUGGAGGGGUAACGGCCCACCAAGGCGGUGAUCAGUAGCCGGUCGGGGAGGAUGAACGGCCACAUCUGGACUGAGACACGGCCCAGACUCCUACGGGAGGCCGCAGUGGGGAAUCUUCCGCAAUGGACGAAAGUCUGACGGAGCAACGCCGCGUGCGUGAUGACGGCCUUCGGGUUGUAAAGCUCUGUUAAUCGGGACGCGGUACCGGAAUAGAAAGCCACGGCUAACUACGUGCCAGCAGCCGCGGUAAUAC
rnacentral:rRNA from 1 species